GAGUUUGAUCGUGGCUCAGGAUGAACGCUAGCGACAGGCUUAACACAUGCAAGUCGAGGGGCAGCGGGGGUAGCAAUACCCGCCGGCGACCGGCGCACGGGUGAGUAACGCGUAUGCAACUUACCUAUCAGAGGGGGAUAACCCGGCGAAAGUCGGACUAAUACCGCAUGAAGCAGGGGCCCCGCAUGGGGAUAUUUGCUAAAGAUUCAUCGCUGAUAGAUAGGCAUGCGUUCCAUUAGGCAGUUGGCGGGUAACGGCCCACCAAACC
rnacentral:rRNA from 1 species